AUUGAACGCUGGCGGCAUGCUUUACACAUGCAAGUCGAACGGUAACAGGGUGCUUGCACCGCUGACGAGUGGCGAACGGGUGAGUAGUGCGUCGGAACGUGCCGAGUAGUGGGGGAUAACGCAUCGAAAGGUGUGCUAAUACCGCAUACGUACUGAGGUAGAAAGUGGGGGACCUUCGGGCCUCACGCUAUUCGAGCGGCCGACGUCUGAUUAGCUAGUUGGUGAGGUAAAGGAUCACCAAGGCGACGAUCAGUAGCGGGUCUGAGAGGAUGAUCCGCCACACUGGGACUGAGACACGGCCCAGACUCCUACGGGAGGCAGCAGUGGGGAAUUUUGGACAAUGGGCGAAAGCCUGAUCCAGCCAUGCCGCGUGUGUGAAGAAGGUCUUCGGAUUGUAAAGCACUUUAAGUUGGGAGGAAGGGUUGUAGAUUAAUACUCUGCAAUUUUGACGUUACCGACAGAAUAAGCACCGGCUAACUCUGUGCCAGCAGCCGCCGUAAUAC
rnacentral:rRNA from 1 species